GUGCUUGCUCCGGCAGCACAUAUACUAAAAUUGGAAUGAUAUAGAAAACAUUAGCAUGACCCCUGCGUGAGGAUGACAUGCAAAUUCAUGAAGUGUUCCAUAUUUAU
rnacentral:snRNA from 1 species